rnacentral:rRNA from 1 species
UACGUAGGGGGCAAGCGUUGUCCGGAAUCAUUGGGCGUAAAGAGCGUGUAGGCGGCCCGGUAAGUCCGCUGUGAAAGCCCAGGGCUCAACCCUGGGAUGCCGGUGGAUACUGUCGGGCUCGAGUCCGGAAGAGGAGUGUGGAAUUCCUGGUGUAGCGGUGAAAUGCGCAGAUAUCAGGAGGAACACCAAUGGCGAAGGCAGCACUCUGGGACGUGACUGACGCUGAGACGCGAAAGCGUGGGGAGCAAACAGG